AACAUAACUGAAAUAAAAAAAAUAAAAUAAAAAAGACCCUUUUUGUCACAAAACUCAAAAGCAUCUAACUUAAGCAUAGCUUUAAAAAAAAAUUAAUCUUUGUAUUUUUUUUUAUUGAUACCUGAGAAGGGGUUGCAGGGGAUAGAGUGGUGGAUGACAUGGUUGAAGCUGUUGAGGACAAAAAAAUUGUUGGUUUGAGAUUGAAAGGAAAAUGUAAUGUAAUAAUAUUAAGAUGAUGUUGGGUUUAAAAUCUUAAAUGACAACCACAACUGUCGAUAUGAUAGUUAAAUGGAUAAGGUGCUAAGGCCAUGUAGGUGCCACAUAGCCACAUAUUUUUCAUCCAACAAGAACCAGCAACUUCAACUUGAGGUUCUUUUUGGUCGAAAAUAUUGAGAUUAUUUUGGUUUUUCUAUUACUUUUUCUACAAUGUGGGCUUUACUAUUUUGGGCUUCCUUUUUGGGCCACUUGUUU
rnacentral:lncRNA from 1 species